rnacentral:misc_RNA from 1 species
GGAAGGAUCAUUACUGAAUUGAACUGGUGGAGAUGUUGCUGGCCCCCCCUCUCCCGGGGGGCAAAACGUGCACUCUCCCCUAUUCACAAUUUCCUUCAUAAACCCCUUGUGCACACAAUGUAGGCAACCCUCCCUCGUUGUAGGGUUUGUUCCUAUGUAUUUCCACUCACAAAAACCGUGUCUUGGAAUGUCUAUUAAUACACUGUUAUUAAAUGAAAACAACUUUCAACAAUGGAUCUCUUGGCUCUCGCAUCGAUGAAGAACGCAGCGAAAUGCGAUACGUAAUGUGAAUUGCAGAAUUCCGUGAAUCAUCGAAUCUUUGAACGCACCUUGCGCCUCUUGGUAUUCCGAGGGGCAUGCCUGUUUGAGUGUCAUUGUAAUUCUCGAGGAAAAAGAAAGGAAACCUUUUGCAAAAGGGGUAGCCCUCUUUAUUUUUCGGAAAUGGAGAUGGUGCUGGCUUGUUGCUAUCAGGUCAGCUUCUCUGAAAAGCAUUAGCAAAAAGCUUGGCUGCUUUUGCCUUGGCAUUGAUAAGUUAGAUUCAUGCCUUUGAGAAGCAUCGGUGGCUUAGCCUUUAGCUUAUUAAAUAGUUCUCCUUUUUGGAGACGUUCUCAACUUUUGACCUCAAAUCAGGUAGGAUUACCCGCUGAACUUAAGCAUAUCAAUAAGCGGAGGAAAAGAAACUAACAAGGAUUCCCCUAGUAACUGCGAGUGAAGCGGGAAAAGCUCAAAUUUAAAAUCUGGCGGUCAUUUGGCUGUCCGAAUUGUAAUCUAGAGAAGUGCUUUCUGCGCUGGACCGUGUACAAGUCUCUUGGAAUGGAGCAUCAUAGAGGGUGAGAAUCCCGUCUCUGACAUGGACUACCAGUGCUUCCCAUGAUGCACUCUCGAAGAGUCGAGUUGUUUGGGAAUGCAGCUCAAAAUGGGUGGUAAAUUCCAUCUAAAGCUAAAUACAGGCGAGAGACCGAUAGCGAACAAGUACCGUGAGGGAAAGAUGAAAAGAACUUUGAAAAGAGAGUUAAACAGUACGUGAAAUUGUUGAAAGGGAAACGUUUCAAGUCAGUCGCGUCGGCUGGCAAUCAACCUUUGCAAUUCUAUUGCUGGGCUUACUUUCCAGUCGAUGGGUCAGCAUCAAUUUUGACCGUUGGAUAAAGUUGAGAGGAAUGUGGCAUCCUUGGAUGUGUUAUAGCCUCUCACCGCAUACGGCGGUUGGGAUUGAGGGACUCAGCAUGGCCCUCCCCAAGGGUUUUCGGGGCUUUUUUUGCCCACGUAACAUGCUUAGGAUGCUGGCGUAAUGGCUUGAACCGACCCGUCUUGAAACACGGACCAAGGAGUCUAACAUGCCUGCAAGUGUUUGGGUGGAAAACCCAAGCGCGAAGUGAAAGUGAACGUUGUCGAGAUCCCUGUCAUGGGGAGCACCGACGCCCGGACCAGACCUUCUGUGACGGAUCUGAGGUUGAGCAUGUAUGUUGGGACCCGAAAGAUGGUGAACUAUGCCUGAAUAGGGCGAAGCCAGAGGAAACUCUGGUGGAGGCUCGUAGCGAUUCUGACGUGCAAAUCGAUCGUCGAAUUUGGGUAUAGGGGCGAAAGACUAAUCGAACCAUCUAGUAGCUGGUUCCUGC